AGAUGAUGGUGUAGGGCUGAGACCUGAGAAACAAUAUUUAUUAAUUUGGUAGAGAAAGAUGAGUCUCAAGGGAAGAUGAAAAAGAAGAAACCAGAAAAAUAGAAGAAAAAUCAGUAGCCACAUGAAGGGACCUGGUGUGCCGCAGAAGCAAUAAACCAUGGGGUCAAGUUUGAGCAAUGAGAGAAAAAGCUGGGACCAUCUCAUAAUGUUUGUGUACAUUCCUGUUGUCUUCUACCUCCCAUCCACCGUGUCUCUCUACUGCCUAUAACCAGCCUACAUAAGGCCCUGAACAGACUGGAUGAUGCCCACCCACACGGAUGAAGGGCGGAUGUUGUUUACUCAGUCUGCUGAUUCCAACGCUAAUCUUUUCCAGAAACACCAUCACAGACACACCGAGAAAUAAUGCUUUAUCACCUAUGUGGGCAUUCUUGAGCCCAAUCAAGUUGCCACAUGAAAUUUACCAUCACACCUACCUGUCCACCUCUGCCCACACCUACUUUAAGUUUAACCCAAUAAUAAAUGAGACUUAAUCUCAUUUUUAGAGCCCUCCAAUGAAAAAUUUGUUAUUGUACUUCAUAAGACUUUUUGAUAUUUAACAGGUCUCAAGAAAGAUUUUUUUUGGCAAAAGCCAUACUUACACAAAGAAGACAUGGGUUUUAGACUGACUUUGGCCCUUUCUACCUGUAGGGUCACAUACUUUCACAAUAUGGACAAAAUGAUGCUACUGUGCCUUUCCCACAGGAUUGCUGUAUAAAUCAUUUGUGAAUUCUAAGAUUAUUGAGAUGAUUAUGCUUAUGAAUAUCUUAUUAUAUAAUAACUUUUCCCAUUUUAAAAAGAAUUGCAUUUAUAGACAUAAAUGACUAAGGUGGCUUUUAAAAUUCCCGAAGAAAAUCUUUUUAGAUAUAUACCAUUCUAAUGACUUGUAUUUAUUAGACAAGUCUGGAUUUAAAAAUGGGAGUUUAUAGUCAUUUAAGCCAACUAAUAAUAAUAUCUAAGGAGCCUGGAUGAGUAAAGACUCUUCAAUUCACAGUCAAAUGCCAAGUGAGGCUUAUAUUUUCGUUAGGAAAGUUUCGCCAGGGUGAUUGUUUUAAUUACUUUUAUUGGAAUAACAGUAGCUAAUAAAGCAAUCCAGAUUGUUACCAAGCUCAGUAGGAGAGAAAAUAAUAGGAUGUCUUCACAUCUUAUGACUAGAAAUCAUGUCCUCAGAUACUUUGUUUCUUCCUCUUUCAUUGUGGUGUGAAAAGUAGAAAGAAAGCUCCCCUCUGCAGGGGAAGUUUUAUAGAGAUGGUAACCUGGUUAUACUCUGUCUUUUAGGAAUCCUUGCAGAGUUGGGAAUAGCACAUUUCUCACUAUAUAUAUAUAUAUAUAUAUAUAUAUAUAUAUAUAUAUAAUAUAUAUAUGGUAAUUUUUGUGUGGAUUUAUAUUACCUUUGAUCCCCAGACAUUGUUUGAAAAACUUGAGGAAGGAGGAAAAAGAAUCAGAUGGUGACGGAACUCAUGUGGCUGACUGAG
rnacentral:lncRNA from 10 species